UAACAUGCAUCAAAUAAGUAUGUAUGCUAACUAGCGGUUUAAACGGUGUGCUUUAUUCAGGCCUAUGCCUCAGCCACUUCAGAUUGGCAGGUGAUGUUAUUUGCUGAUAUGCCUCCGGUCUUCUUCCUCUUAGAACCAACCUGGUAGACAAAAACUGUGGACCCAAAGAGACUGACAACACCAGGGCUUUCUUAUCUUUUCCAAUCAACAGCUGUGGAUCCACAGUCAAGCUUGGCAAGGAAUAUGUGACGUAUGAAAAUUAGAUUUUCUUCAGCAAGAAGUUACGUGAUCCAGCUGAUUUCUGUGAUUUUGACAGAGUUUCCCACCAGAGGAAGUGGCAUCCCUUGGUCACAUGCUUUUUCUACAAAUGCUUUGGAGGUGUUUUUUUUUUUUUGUUUUUGUUUUUUACAACCUAGGGAACCGUUGACCAGAAUGUGGGGACAGACACUAAAUUUAUUUAUUAAAUUACAAAUAAUACAGAAAAUAUAUUCUAUGCAACUGUUUAUAUAACUUAAGAGUGUGAACAAAAAAAUACUUAAAUUAGACUUAAUUGUUUCAUGAUAAUUCAAGUUGAAUGAAUCAGGAGGCGGAGUCAUUCAAUAAUGGGUCCAGUGGGAGUCAUUUAGUUAAUAUUUCCCCAUUACAUUGUAUUCCUAAGUAUACAUGAAGCAUUGUUUUUAGUGAUAGUGUAAUAACUGUGUUAUUCAAAAUUUAUUAAAACGUUUAUUUAAAUGGGUUUAUCUGGGAGACUCGAUGUACCCCCAAUUCUAGAAUGACUAUAUAUCUAUAUACUCGUUUUUUUUUAACCUGUUUAUGAAAGGAAAAUUGAUUGGCCAAAGAUACACUGACCCCGAAUGCAGAGUUAUCUCUUCCUGUAAUUCGGCUACGUUUCAACUACCAUAUUCCGCUGUCGCCACGAUCAGAGACGUGGGUGGGUCUUCGCAUACCGCCAAAAAAUAGCAAAGAGAGAGUGGACUACCGCCAUUUCAUGUCUUGUCAGCCAUCUGAACCAAAUAAUGGGAGAUAGAACCACGAACCUGUGAGUUUUGAGCUUUGUAGUUUACUAAUGAGUAUUGAAUAAGCCUAAUAGGAAACGUGUAACGUUAGGCCUAUUAUGGUCAUAGUGUCGGUGUUUUUUUUGUUUUGUUUUUUAGGCUUAUUGAGCUGACAAUUUCACUUGCACUGGAAAUGUGAAGUAAUAAAAAUAGGAUACGGUCCGAAAUGUAAAAUGUAGGCUUAUUUGCAGUCUUGAUAAAUCUAUAUACUACCUUAAGUUGUGGUAGGCAUAUUGAUUUAAUUUCACAAGAUUUGGCUUUAUUUUUUUACUGAAUCAGCGAUCAGUAAAGCUUCCAUGAACUUCGGUAACGUUAGUUUUUUAAUUUGUCUGCAUUGUUACUAGAGCAAAUGCUAGAUCUAGCUGAAGUGUAUGCUAACCAAUCUACGACCGAUUUCGUCUCAAAGAAAUGGAGCAUUGUUUGCGACUUGUAGAGUUUUUAAAAAGCUGCAUAAACGACAUCUCUCUGCGCCA